rnacentral:lncRNA from 1 species
UUUUUUUUUUUUUUUUUUUUUUUUUUUUGUCUUUUUGUCUUUUUGCCUUUCCUAGGGCUGCUCCCAUGGCACAUGGAGGUCCCAGGCUAGGUAUUGAAUUGGAACUGUGGCCGCUGCCCUUCACCAGAGCCACAACAAUGCAGGAUCCGAGCUGCGUCUGCAACCUACACCACAGCUCAUGGCAACGCCGGAUCCUCAACCCACUGAGCAAGGGCAGGGACCGAACCCGCAACCCCAUGGUUCCUAGUCGGAUUCAUUAACCACUGAGCCAUGACGGGAACUCCCUUCACUUUAUUUUUCUUAAUUGCUUUGAUAUGCCUUCUGUAUCAUAUAUUAACUUUGUUAUAGAAGAUACUAUCUUUUCUGCAUACUUGAAUAUUUUUCUGGAUAUUCUUUACUUUUACACUGAUUUACUCUCUAUUCAUAUAUUGGUUUUAAUUUGUUUUAUAUAAUGUAUUAUCAUAAUAAAUUUGAAAUUUGUAUGACACUAAUAAUCUUUUAAAACAAUUUCCCAAACUAUUCUUAUAUGGUCUUCUUACCAUAUGAGUUUUAUCAUUUUUGCCCAUUUGAAGAAUUUUGUUGAUAUUCUUAAGGAGAAAAAUAAAGUUUAGUCAUAUCUUCUAACAUUUUUUAUUUAAUUUUUAUUAAAUGUAUCAUAUAACUUUUAACACAAAGCAUCUGAUACCUUCCAAAAGUUUCCCUUAAAUUCAUCCAACUGAGAAUUAGUAUUCUUCACCAAUCUUCUUUGAUCAUUAAACUUAAUAUGUACUCAUUCCAUCACUCUAUUUUUUAAUUCUUCUGGCAAAUUUUUCCCCACCCAUAUGAACUGGGCACCAUAUAUUCUGCAUUUCAUGUUUAAUUUUGUUGUUCUUGGCAUUAUUGUUCUUAUUGUUGAUGCUAUUCUUAUUUGGUUGUUUGAUUGCUUGGCUAUUGUCUCUUCUUUUUGCAGGAUAACAUCCAGUAGUUCUUGAGAAAAAGUGAUUGAAAUUGAUAUUUUUUCUAUUCAAAAUCUGAAAAUAAGUUUUAUAGUACUCUUAACUUUGAUGGAUAAUUAUCUUUGUGUAAUACUCUUGCUAAACAUUAUUUUUUCUUGCUCAGUAUUUUCAAAGCAUUGCUCCUUUUUAGCAUUGCCUUCUUACUGUUCCUCAUGUAGAUAUUUCUUUUCAGUGCCAUUCCUUUGCUAUAGCCCAAAACAUCUUUCUCAGCCAUACUAGAUGUCCCAAAGGCCAUACUGUUUUUGGUUUAUCCUCUCCAGAGAGCAAACCCCUAAUCUUCUGCUGAAGUGAGGGAGGUUUACCUAAUUUGGAGGGAUACAGAAUGUUAUGGUCUAAGAGCUUUAUAAAAUUACUUUGAAUCAGUUAUCUUCACUAGUCCCACUCUUCAGCAAUACCUGUAACAAAGUGCCUUGUUUUGUUACAUUGAUCAUCUUGCUUCUUGCUGGCAUUUUUUCUUUCGGUAUUUAUAUUGUAGGCACUCAUUUAAUGCUGUCUGUAUUAUUGUCGUAUUAGAAGGGAUCCAUGAAAAAGAUUUCUGAAAACUAUAUGGAUUAAAGCUAUUAUAAAUAGAGUUUUUGUUUUUUUUUCUUUCUUUGGCAGCAUUGUAUAUUGUAUCUCUGUAGCAAAAAAUAUAAUGUCAAUGUUUUAAUUUCUCUUUGGUUGAUGUUUUUUUCUUUGCUUUAUAAAGGGCUCUUUCUCAUUUUUCAGAUAUCUAUUCAAAUGUUACUUUUUCAGUCUUUCCUCACCUUGUCGCCAAGCCCAUCACUUGCUAUCAUAGUGUGCUUUAACAUUGAUUUCCUAGAACAUAUCUAAAGUAAUUCAUUGUAUUUCACACAUUCCUUCUCUUUAAUCAGUUUAUUUAACACUUUAUACCAAACACAUUGAAAAGUACCUGUUUGAAGGUAUACACUUAGUGUACCAUAGACAAAGGUACACACUAAGUGCACCAUAGAUAAAAGAACAAAUGAAUAAAUAUGACAUUUUGCAUACUGAGGAUUUUGAUUACUGAAAAAAUGUAAUGAAAGAGUAGUUUGUUGGCAGAAGUCACCUUACUUGUAUGCAAAUUGGCAUAGAUUAGGCACUUAAUCAAAUGUUGACAGUAGAAAUGGAAAAAAUUUCAGUUGUCACUUGAGAUGAAAUUUUCUGUAUUAUACACCUAUUUUUCUAAUGCACAACACUCAUGUAUCAGAAAUUGUGGUAUGUGUUCAGAGUAUUUAGUGUGUGAUACUAAUCCUUCAAAUUAUCUUUCAACACAUUCAUCCAAGUUUCAUUUAGUAAAUACUUUCUACUUAAAUUUAGUAAAUAUCAAAUCCUAAAAUAUGAUCUUGUCACAAUUUUAGUACAGUUUUUCUAUUUUUUUCUUUUUGGUGUUUUUAAGCAUUCUAGGACAACAUGAGUUCUCUGCUAUAUGGACCUAGAAGUGCAGUUUGUUCUUAGAUGAAUUUUUUCUUCUCUUUAGAAGAAAUAGUGUCCUACUGUUUUACUAUCUGUGAACUUUUACACAUUAUCGUAUAUUUAUUGUUAAAAAAUACAACAAAAGAAAGGUCCCUCAAAGGACUAGAAAAGAAAAAUUGAAAGCUUUAAAGUAUCAGAGUAAAAUGCAUAUUUCAUGUCAUAGUGGUAAGUGCUGCAUUAUAUUAGCAAUUUAGCUAUAGGAUCAGUGACUUUUCUGUCCUUUAUUGAAUUUUUAAUAUCAUAAGAAAGUUACUAAUGUGAUAAAAGUCUUAAAGUAUUACUGACUUUCUAUCAUGCUCUUGAAGUGAAUUUUUAUAGUAUUAGCAAAAACAGUUUCAGAAUACCAUAUAAACUGACCAAAAUGAUAAUAAAAAAGCUUUAAAAAUCAAUAAUACAGUUUAUUCAGCUGAUCUAUUUGAAGCCUCUCAUAUUUCAUUUUCAGAUCUUUGUCUCUUAGUGGCUCCUGCUCAUUGAUAAGAGUAGAAGUUGCAAAAUCCUAACUUCCUUUGAAACAACAUCUAGUUUUCAAUAGAUUAUCUUGCUAAAAACAGACUCUGAAAAUUGCUAGUAGUCUUAUUU